rnacentral:rRNA from 1 species
CAGCAGCCACGGUAAUACGAAGGGGGCUAGCGUUGCUCGGAAUUACUGGGCGUAAAGGGAGCGUAGGCGGACAUUUAAGUCAGGGGUGAAAUCCCAGAGCUCAACUCUGGAACUGCCUUUGAUACUGGGUGUCUUGAGUGUGAUAGAGGUAUGUGGAACUCCGAGUGUAGAGGUGAAAUUCGUAGAUAUUCGGAAGAACACCAGUGGCGAAGGCGACAUACUGGAUCAUUACUGACGCUGAGGCUCGAAAGCGUGGGGAGCAAACAGGAUUAGAUACCCCAGUAGUCCCUGUCUCUUAUAC